UACGUAGGGUGCGAGCGUUGUCCGGAAUUACUGGGUGUAAAGGGUGCGCAGGCGGGCUUGUGCGUCGGAGGUUAAAGAUCUCGGCUUAACCGAGAAAGUGCCUUCGAAACGGCAGGUCUUGAAUGUGAGAGAGGAUGAUAGAAUUCCUGGUGUAGCGGUGAAAUGCGUAGAUAUCAGGAGGAAUACCGGUGGCGAAGGCGGUCAUCUGGCUCACAAUUGACGCUCAGGCACGAAAGCGUGGGUAGCGAACAGGAUUAGAUACCCUGGUAGUCCACGCCCUAAACGAUGUAUGCUUGGUGUUGGGGAUUUAUCUCCAGUGCCGAAGGAAACCCGAUAAGCAUACCACCUGGGGAGUACGAUCGCAAGGUUGAA
rnacentral:rRNA from 1 species